rnacentral:rRNA from 1 species
UACGUAGGGUGCAAGCGUUAAUCGGAAUGACUGGGCGUAAAGGGUGCGCAGGCGGUUUGUUAAGACGGAUGUGAAAGCCCCGGGCUUAACCUGGGAAUAGCAUACGUGACUAGCAAACUAGAAUAUGGCAGAGGGAGGUGGAAUUCCAUGUGUAGCAGUGAAAUGCGUAGAGAUGUGGAGGAACACCGAUGGCGAAGGCAGCCUCCUGGGCCUGCACUGACGCUCAUGCACGAAAGCGUGGGGAGCAAACAGG